UCUUCUUCAUCCAAAUAAUUACAGCGCACAAACUUAUCACUUAGAUUAUGGGUCAGAGAUUCUCGCUGACAAAUCGCUAACUAACCCAAAUCUCCAAAACCAGUGAAACGGAAAUUGCAUACCCAAAAACCAGAGCUUCCACCGCCGCCACCGGAAGAACCGAUUGCCUACAACUUCCAUCAAGAGAUUUAUGAAGGCGAUCCUUACGCCGAUGUAGCGAACGAAGUUAUACCCACAUUCCAUGGCAAUGAAAAUCCGGUGCCAUCACCGGAGCCAUUGGGUAUGUGAACUAUGGACGGCUGGAGGACUAUGGGGUUCAGAAAGAAAUAUCAUUACCAAGUAUGCAGAGGACUUGAGAGAUGUCAUGAGAAAGCAAAGAUUGGCUACCAAUGUGGAAGAGAAGCUUUGCAAAGGUACGAGAACUUAAACAACAGACAGAUAAUGGCAGAAUGAUGAUUAUGGAUCGGUAUCCUUUCCUGGGAUUUACGGCACACUUGAAGAGGCAGAGCAUAACAAGAGUGCAGAUGCAUGGCAGUUUGUACAACAUCAAGUAUGGAGCGUUGCUAGGGCUAACAGGCAUACUUCAUUAGUCCUAAAUGUAGAGCUUACAUGAAUUCGUAUACCAUGAUAAUUACCACCCUCAAUAUUACAGAAAACAAACAGCACCAAACUUCUUGAUUUCCUGA